AGAUGUUCUUGACUGUAGAGGAGAGGAAUCUGUAUAUAUAAAAGGAUAGUGGGCAGGGGACUGUGAAGACAGGGAUUGUGAGGGAGUAAAGAGCCCCUUCAGAAGAAGGAGGUUGCCGUUGUGUGAAUUAGAUUAGGAAACAACAUGAAUAAGAUCUGUUAACAGGAAGUGAGAGAGAGAAAAGAAAAGAAAAAGAAAAAGAGAAGGGAGGGGAGGGGAGGGGAAGAAACACAGAGGGGAAGAGCGAGUAGAAAUAAAGGAGAGGAGGAGAAAUAAAGGAGGAGAAAUAAAGAGAGAAAAAGAAGGGGGGAAGAGAGAAAGAAGGAAGGGUAAGGGAUGGGCCCAAACCUGGAAGUGGCCUGAGGGGAACAAGCGGCCAUGGCGGUGCCUAUUGGCAGCAAGGAAGGGCCAAGUCAACCACUGCUGCUGUUUGGGGCUACUAAGGCCAUUGGCAGAUGGAGGCAGGCAGGCAAGGGAUGGGCCCGGGACUGUCAGUGACCUGAGGAGGAAUUGAGGCAGCGGCGGCAGCAGUGAGGAAGGGCCCAGUUAACCGCUGCUGCUGCUGCUCCUGUGAUGAGGAACAGGACUGGGGCUCGGAUGAGGGUGGGGAGGUCUCUGGGGAUAAGGGGCUGCAAGCAACGGGAUGGAGGAGGAGGAGCAGGAGUGUGGCUCAGUCAGGAGGAGAGCGGCUGCCGCAGCAGAGAAAGGAAAGACAGCCCUAUCUUUUAGCAGCAGCAGCAGUAGCAGUCAUCUCUCGGAUUGGUCCUCUUCAUCUUGAGCUUCUCCGCCACUCAGCAACUGAGUGCAGUUGCUGAACUAAGGACAGAACUCACCUGGGAGACAGCUAAUCAAGUGGAAAGGAAAGUCAAACAAACUACCCAUGUGUGAGUGUGUGUGUGCCUGCUUCCCACAUUUAUGGAGUGAGCGUGUGUGAUAUAUAUUCUAUCCCCAAUUGAAAGUCUUCCUUUAUGUGUCUGUGUUUCCUCCCAAGCCCUUGUUUGUGCCUGAGUGAUUUUUAACUUUCACAAAAAUGAUUUUAAAUUAUUGGGUUCUUUCCUCUAAGGCCUGAUGUGAUCUUCCAUUUGGAACUUGAAAUGAGUCAUUUUCCUCUCUGUGGACAGGAAAGAGGGGGUGGUGGCAGGGAUUUCAUUGCUUGGUUCUUUUAUGGUGGUUGUUGAAAAUAUAUUCAAUUGUUUUUCAACCAGACAAGUUCUUAAAAAAAUGUUCCUUGUUCCCAGAAUGGCUCACAAUACCUGAGGGUUGGGGAAGAGUGGAGCUAGCCUAGCAUACUGGAUUGUUUGCUAAUUUUAAACUGGUGUGCCUGGAUAUCCCUUCACCUGCCUUUUCCAAAUGAAAAACAUUGGUGUUUAAAAUAAUAAUAAUCCUGCCAUGCUACAGCCUUGACAAAAAUGGUUAAGCUUGGAACAGAGGCUUCCUUUGGAACCCACAGAAGGGGAGGAGAGCUAGUCUUGUGGUAGCAAGCAUGAAUUGCCCCCUUGUAUUUCACAAAGCUGAUAGUUGUAUUAUUUGGUUCUGCUGUUGUUUACACCUUGCAACUGUAGUCUCCUGUCUUCUGUUAAUCUGCUACACUAUAUUUUCUGCAGCAGAGACAUGGGGCCAGGAGAAGGAGAGGAAGGCAGUGAGGGACCAAUUUUAAAAUCUCAUCUCUGGGUCCACGCCAACCUUGGUAUGCCCUUGCUGCAUGCAAGAGAGAUGCUCUACCAUUGAGCUGGAUAUCAGCUUAGAUGGCUAUAUAAGAGGAUUAAGACACAUUCAUGGAGAAUUAGGUAACCAGUGGCUGUUAGCAAUGAUGGCCAUAUGGAAUGUCCAUGUCCACUGAAUGCCAAUUUCUGGCAAAAAACAGCAAGAGAGGGCUACUACCUUCAAGGUCAUUCUUAGAGACCUGUACUUGGUCAACAUGGAAACCAGGAUGCUGGACUAAAUGCUACACCCAUCAGGGCAGUUCAUAUGUUCUUGAAAUCCUGCACUGACCACUUCCAUCCUGUAGCAUGUAGUGACAAUUUUGAAGCACCUGGGCCACACUGAAGGUGGCAGGAAGAGGAAGAAAGGCAACACCAGGAAAGAAGGCAUUAGUCGAGGUUCUUUGUGCAAGGUAUGGAUCAGAGGGGGCUGGCCAGGCCUCCCCAAGUACCUUAUCCAAGUUGUCCACAUCCUCAGGGUCCAACACCUGAAACACAUCCAAGUAAGAAGGAACUGAGGGGAUUUCAAACAUGGUCACUGUUGUCAAUAUGGAGUUCAAAUCAGAGUGGAUGCAAGAAAUUUGUACCUGCAAAAUGUUUAACAAUCAAAUCAUAGCAGGCAGAGCAACAAGUACGUUUCCCUGUUAUUACUAUCAAAAAAUAUACUUUAAAAUGAACUCUCACCUGCACAUUAUCAGGUUCAGCCCAAAUUUUAUUCCAUUUUCAUUCUAGCCAUUGUCUGACUAGGACCGGGAAGACCCGAGUUCGAAUCCCCAUUCAGCCAUGAAACUCACUGGGUGACUUUGGGCUGGUCAUGUAUAUCUCAGCCUAACCUACCUCACAGGGUUGUUGUGAGGAUAAAAAUAACCAUGUACACCACUCUGAGCUCCUCAGAAGAGAAGGACAUAAGCAUAAAAUAAAUAAAUAAAAUAAAUUAUACCAAGGAACUGAAUGAGCCUUACAGGAGGUUUCUUUAUUCCAAAGAACCACUCAGGUGGUGUCAGCAUCACCAGUACUGUAUUGUCCAUCAAAUCCUCAGUGACAUUCUGGAAACCAACAGGAUCUACCACUCUGUGGAUCUGAAGGACCAGCAAAUAGGCUCCCCGCCAUAGCAGGCAUCAGUUGCUAAAACUCUGAACUUCACCAGAUAACCAGGCCAAACUCUUGGGUCACUUGAAGCUCACUUUGGUCCCUUCCCACUCCUCACUCUCACCCCUCAGACUACUUACCAAGACCAGCAGGGGCAAGGAGAAAAGGCUUUGGUCUUUCUCUUUGCCCCCCACCAUGAGAGAGCAAACAGACUGGAACUGGUAGUCUUUUCCAAGGCUGCGGUCAUUGUUAGCCUAAAAAAAGACAACAGAUCUCAGGAUCACCUGUGCAUAUCCCAGGACUCCAUGGGAAAAGGUUAAAAAGUGCCAUUUUUAAAGUCAACCUAUAGGCAGCUGCUUGCUCCCUUGUACGAAUAUUGAAGCAGGCCUGAUCUUGUACCAUCUUGAAGCAGGUCUGAAAGUGUUUGAGCAAAUCGGGGGCCCUUCAGAAACUCUGAAGUGGUCCCUGAAGUGAAGAAGCACUGAUUUGCACAAGCCUAUGGUUUACAUUGCCGAUAUUCAAUAAAGGAAGGGUUUUUUAAAAAAAAGCAUAUAUUCUGGUUUCACAUUCUGUGAUAUAUGGUGCUAUCAAAACUCUCCAGUAUUUCACAUAGCAAAUUCUUGCUGCCAUUAUUACAUAUGCAAUUAAUUCUUGAUAUUGAAUUAAUAAUUUUCCUUUGGUUAAGAUGAAUUCAAUCAUCCAAAAAUCUUUGGUUUAAAAUGGUUUACAUGUUUACUUUUGCUCUAAAAAGCAUGGAAAUUGCUGGUUAAGGUGCUCAUCUUAAUUGCCAUACCAUGUAAACUGUAAAGACCUUAUAUAUUAUAUACAAUAAUAUAUAUUGUAUAUUAUACAGUAAUAUAAAUAAAAAUACCACACUUUGCCUUUGUGUUUCAGCUGGACAUUGGAUGGGGGAAGGAAGCAUUCAGAAAUUCAACAGAUGCAGCUUCCUCAAUCACUUCCUAGAGAUAGUCAAGCUACAAUAGACAUUGAUUUAAUACAGUUGAAGGAGAGGAUACUAUUCAAUACUACCAAAAAUGUUUGUUCAAAGAUUGCCCUCGCUUUCAUCUCAGCCCAGGUGGUAGUUUUGAUUCAAAUAGCAAGGGCGGAAUCACAUAAAUUAAGAAGUCAGGAAAGCUUUUGCCUAUGAAGAAGAGAGAUUUAAAGAAGGAAAGGGAAGUUGCUUGAUCAACAGAGAAGGAAAGAUCAUUCCAGGAACAAAUUAAUUAAAGUACAUCAGGAUUCUCA